GGUUGGUUUAAGAAGCUUUGCAUAUGAUCGAUGGUCCAAGUGGUACUAUUGUAGUGAUGACUUUUCCCUUCCAUUCUUUCUCAAAGAUGGCGCAAGCAAGCUCCCAAUAGAAGGUGAUCAUGAGAAAAGGGCUCUUCUUGGAGGGCGCCCCACUUUCGUCCACAUCUUUGAGAAACUUGGCUAUUACCCGGGUACUGGAGACACCGAGGAAAUGGGAAAAGCAUUCCUAGAAGCUGUGUUGGUAUUUUGUGAGGCAAGGCGGGUCGUAUGGAUAUUCAUGGAAGUGAAGGAGAGAAUUAAAAGGAAGGAAGAACCAAGGGACUUAGACUGCACCAUCCCUGGUAGAGAAAUCCACAUGCACUAUGCGUGGGGUGAUGUUUCGGAUUGGGGUCUUGACUCCAAACUAGUGUUAACUUCUGCCCAGAAAGGAGUGUACACGCCACCUAGGGACGACGAUGGUAAGGCAGAAACUCUAGUAGUAAUUGACAAGAGGAGCACGUUUGAGAGACUUAUCGCACACGGAAGGGAAAGUGGACAUCUGGGGCUGAUAAUGCGUGAUGACGGUGUAUUGGCUCCGGAGGGCAGCCGGGUGCUCAUGCUGUUGAGGAAGAAGAAGGAUCAGUUGGGAGCUAAAUGCCGUGAACCGUAUUUCCGUGAAGUGAAGGAGGAUGAAGACGAUGAGUGACGGCUGUACGUUCUGUGCUCCAGCAGGACCCAGCAAGUUUGCAUCCUGCAUUGUCAAGGAGGGGAGAAGAAAGAAGAAACUGCAGAGGAGAGUCUGAUGGCGAGAUGGCCAAGCUUCAGUCUGCUCGACGACUAGGCUGUGUCUGUGUGCACCUCGCCUCGCCUCGCCGUGUGUCAAGUCGCAAGUUUCGUCCUCUUUAGUUAGUGUUGAACACCAGAGUUGCAACUUCUGUUAUCAUCCUUUAAUUUGGACAAGAACUAUGCUAAUUAACUGGUUGUUUCCUUCCGGAUGUGUACUCGACAAUGCAUCGUUAUGCCAUGCACUUGGUUAAUUUAUUUCUCUCGUG